rnacentral:lncRNA from 1 species
UUUUAACUUCCGAGACGCAUAUAAGGCCCUCCCCCGCCCGCCCUUGGAAAAGCUGACCACGACUCCAUUUUGUUGCUCCCAGCCUAUAGACAGAAACUAAAACAGGAUGCUCCCGCCCUCAGGUCUGUUCAACGCUGGUCCGACAAAUCGGAAUCCACGCUUCAAGAUUGCUUCGAUCACGUGGACUGGGAUAUGUUCCGCAUUUCUGCGAACAACAACAUUGACGAAUACGCUGACUCGGCUACGCUGCCGCCCCGGCCAGAGGAAGAGCUGUCAUUCAUUGAAGAUGCAACUAAAGAGAGUCCAGCUACAGAAUAGUCUAAAUACCAGGACCACUGAGAGAGACCAGUUACAGAACAGUCUAAAUACCAGGACCACAGAAAGAGACCAGUUACAGAACAGCCUAAAUACCAGGACCACCGAGAGAGACCAGCUACAGAAUAGCCUAUAUUCCAGGACCACAGAGAGAGACCAGCUACAAAAUAGUCUCA